UACGGGGGGGGCAAGCGUUGUUCGGAAUUACUGGGCGUAAAGGGUUCGUAGGUGGCCAACUAAGUCAGACGUGAAAUCCCUCAGCUUAACUGGGGAACUGCGUCUGAGACUGGAUGGCUUGAGUGCAGGAGAGGAACGCGGAAUUCCAGGUGUAGCGGUGAAAUGCGUAGAUAUGCGGAGGAACACCGAUGGCGAAGGCAAUCCCCUGGACCUGUACUGACGCUCAUGCACGAAAGCGUGGGGAGCAAACAGG
rnacentral:rRNA from 1 species